rnacentral:rRNA from 1 species
AUUGAACGCUGGCGGCAUGCCUUACACAUGCAAGUCGAACGGUAACGGGCCUUCGGGUGCCGACGAGUGGCGCACGGGUGAGUAAUACAUCGGAACGUGCCCGAUCGUGGGGGAUAACGAGGCGAAAGCUUUGCUAAUACCGCAUACGAUCUACGGAUGAAAGCAGGGGACCGCAAGGCCUUGCGCGGACGGAGCGGCCGAUGGCAGAUUAGGUAGUUGGUGGGAUAAAAGCUUACCAAGCCGACGAUCUGUAGCUGGUCUGAGAGGAUGAUCAGCCACACUGGGACUGAGACACGGCCCAGACUCCUACGGGAGGCAGCAGUGGGGAAUUUUGGACAAUGGGCGCAAGCCUGAUCCAGCCAUGCCGCGUGCAGGAUGAAGGCCUUCGGGUUGUAAACUGCUUUUGUAUGGAACGAAAAGCCUUCUUUUAAUACAGGAGGGUCAUGACGGUACCGUAAGAAUAAGCACCGGCUAACUACGUG